UACAGAGGGUGCAAGCGUUAAUCGGAAUUACUGGGCGUAAAGCGUGCGUAGACGGUUGCGUAAGUCAGAUGUGAAAGCCCCGGGCUCAACCUGGGAAUUGCAUUUGAGACUGCGUAGCUAGGGUGCGGAAGAGGGAAGCGGAAUUUCCGGUGUAGCGGUGAAAUGCGUAGAUAUCAGGAGGAACACCGGUGGCGAAGGCGCACAUCUGGCCCGAUACUGACGCUGAGGCGCGAAAGCUAGGGGAGCAAACGGG
rnacentral:rRNA from 1 species